AUUGAACGCUGGCGGCAUGCCUUACACAUGCAAGUCGAACGGCAGCACGGACUUCGGUCUGGUGGCGAGUGGCGAACGGGUGAGUAAUGCAUCGGAACGUACCUUUCAGUGGGGGAUAACUAUCCGAAAGGAUAGCUAAUACCGCAUAUUCUGUGAGCAGGAAAGCAGGGGAUCGCAAGACCUUGCGCUGAUUGAGCGGCCGAUGUCAGAUUAGCUAGUUGGUGAGGUAAAGGCUCACCAAGGCGACGAUCUGUAGCGGGUCUGAGAGGAUGAUCCGCCACACUGGAACUGAGACACGGUCCAGACUCCUACGGGUGGCAG
rnacentral:rRNA from 1 species